GGAAGUGGCUGGGCUGGCCGGACGGGCGCGGCUCGGUCGGCAAGCGUAGUCCCUGACUGGCAACUUGUCUGUCCUUCCCUGACCCUGGAAGGCAUUUCGGUGCUUGCCUUUGACGGCCCCAAGGUGAGCGCGACCUUCUGGCCGCGGCAGACCGACCUCGCCAAACCUGGGGCAGCCCCAGUAGAGGAACCGGAGGCUGAAGAGUGAGCACCAGCACAGAUCUGGGGCCCUCAUCUGCUGCCCCGAAAUCAGCCGACUGUCACCUGGGCCACUCGUACCGGGACUGCCAGAAUGGCAGGCUACUCAGAAAGUAUGCCUGGCAUCUGUGAUCUGUGCAAGGGUGGGGCGGCACAAAGUCAGACCAGGACUGACGUCGUGGGAGGAGAAAACCACUCCUUGAAGUCCACACACACUAAAAG
rnacentral:lncRNA from 1 species